CAAAACAUAGUUUAUUUAAAAUAUUAAUUUUGGAGAUUAAUGAAGGUUUAAAUACCUGUUUUGA
rnacentral:tRNA from 1 species